rnacentral:miRNA from 1 species
CAUUUGAUUCCUUCUUUACUUAUCCGACACAUAUAUAUAUAUAUAUAUAUAUAUAUAUAUAUAUGUGUCGGAUAAGUAAAGAAGGAAUCAAAUG